GACGAACGCUGGCGGCGUGCCUAAUACAUGCAAGUAGAACGCUGAAGAGAGGAGCUUGCUCUUCUUGGAUGAGUUGCGAACGGGUGAGUAACGCGUAGGUAACCUGCCUUGUAGCGGGGGAUAACUAUUGGAAACGAUAGCUAAUACCGCAUAACAAUGGAUGACACAUGUCAUUUAUUUGAAAGGGGCAAUUGCUCCACUACAAGAUGGACCUGCGUUGUAUUAGCUAGUAGGUGAGGUAAUGGCUCACCUAGGCGACGAUACAUAGCCGACCUGAGAGGGUGAUCGGCCAAACUGGGACUGGGACACGGCCCAGACUCCUACGGGAGGCAGCAGUAGGGGAUCUUCGGCGAUGGGGGCAACCCUGACCGAGCAACGCCGCGUGAGUGAAGAAGGUUUUCGGGUCGUGAAGCUCUGUUGUAAGUCAAGAACGGGUGUGAGAGUGGAAAGUUCACACUGUGACGGUAGCUGACCAGAAAGGGACGGCUAACUACGUG
rnacentral:rRNA from 1 species